UGCGUAGGCGGUCUUUCAAGUCAGGAGUGAAAGGCUACGGCUCAACCGUAGUAAGCUCUUGAAACUGUAAGACUUGAGUGCAGGAGAGGGGGGUAGAAUUCCAGGUGUAGCGGUGAAAUGCGUAGAGAUCUGGAGGAAUACCGAUUGCGAAGGCAGCCCCCUGGACAGUGACUGACGCUCAUAUGCGAAAGCGUGGGGAUCAAACAGGAUUAGAUACCCUCGUA
rnacentral:rRNA from 1 species